CACACACACACACACACACACACACACACACACACACACACACACUGUAAUUCUAAUCUUACAUAGAUAUUGUCACAUAUCAAACCAUGUUACUAAGCCUUAAAAUUGAAUCAGUGCUCCCAGACCACUCAAAUAGGGUUUCCCUUUAAUGCUUCCGCAUUUCCCAACACACACUCACUCUGUAGUGUCCUCACGCGUUCGAUCAGGUCGGGCUCCUCCUGGAGCAGCGAGCCUCUGGUCCGUAGAGUAGCGUCUCUCUGCAGACCGGAGCCAGCCGCAAGUGGGCGGACACCUGCAAGUGGGCGGGGCUACAAGCGAAAGGGGCUCGUUCGUUCUCCGAUUUGAUCGCCGAAUCAGCGACAUCUAAGAAAACAACAUGUCAAGAAGGCAAAGAAAUGGAAUUAAGGAGCCCAGCCCAUGAGGGUGAUGGGGACACGGACCUCUUCUUUGUUCUCUUUGAGUACAAGCCAUGGAGCCUUUUUUAGACACCUGUGUAAAGGUUCAGAAUCUCCAAAUAAAAUGCAUGUUUCGGGGUACCCUGUGUGGGAAAUAAACUUGUAGUGAAUUUGA